GUAUGCUCACUUCAGCCACACAUAUACUAAAAUUGGAACUAUACAGGAAGAUGAGCAUGGACCCUGUACAAGGACGACAUGAAAAUUGGUGAGUGUUCCAUACUUUA
ensembl:snRNA U6 U6 spliceosomal RNA